GUGUCAGCAGCCGCGGUAAUACGGAGGGUGCGAGCGUUGUUCGGAAUCACUGGGCGUAAAGCGCGUGUAGGCGGCUUCCUAAGUCUGGUGUGAAAUCCCGGGGCUCACCCCCGGAAGUGCACUGGAUACUGGGAAGCUCGAGUACCGGAGAGGAGGGUGGAAUUCCUGGUGUAGCGGUGAAAUGCGUAGAUAUCAGGAGGAACACCUGUGGCGAAGGCGGCCCUCUGGACGGAUACUGACGCUGAGACGCGAAAGCGUGGGGAGCAAACAGGAUUAGAAACCCUAGUAGUCC
rnacentral:rRNA from 1 species